GGGGAGCCGAAGGGAAACCGAGUCUUAACUGGGCGUUAAGUUGCAGGGUAUAGACCCGAAACCCGGUGAUCUAGCCAUGGGCAGGUUGAAGGUUGGGUAACACUAACUGGAGGACCGAACCGACUAAUGUUGAAAAAUUAGCGGAUGACUUGUGGCUGGGGGUGAAAGGCCAAUCAAACCGGGAGAUAGCUGGUUCUCCCCGAAAGCUAUUUAGGUAGCGCCUCGUGAAUUCAUCUCCGGGGGUAGAGCACUGUUUCGGCAAGGGGGUCAUCCCGACUUACCAACCCGAUGCAAACUGCGAAUACCGGAGAAUGUUAUCACGGGAGACACACGGCGGGUGCUAACGUCCGUCGUGAAGAGGGAAACAACCCAGACCGCCAGCUAAGGUCCCAAAGUCAUGGUUAAGUGGGAAACGAUGUGGGAAGGCCCAGACAGCCAGGAUGUUGGCUUAGAAGCAGCCAUCAUUUAAAGAAAGCGUAAUAGCUCACUGGUCGAGUCGGCCUGCGCGGAAGAUGUAACGGGGCUAAACCAUGCACCGAAGCUGCGGCAGCGACGCUUAUGCGUUGUUGGGUAGGGGAGCGUUCUGUAAGCCUGUGAAGGUGUGCUGUGAGGUAUGCUGGAGGUAUCAGAAGUGCGAAUGCUGACAUAAGUAACGAUAAAGCGGGUGAAAAGCCCGCUCGCCGGAAGACCAAGGGUUCCUGUCCAACGUUAAUCGGGGCAGGGUGAGUCGACCCCUAAGGCGAGGCCGAAAGGCGUAGUCGAUGGGAAACAGGUUAAUAUUCCUGUACUUGGUGUUACUGCGAAGGGGGGACGGAGAAGGCUAUGUUGGCCGGGCGACGGUUGUCCCGGUUUAAGCGUGUAGGCUGGUUUUCCAGGCAAAUCCGGAAAAUCAAGGCCGAGGCGUGAUGACGAGGCACUACGGUGCUGAAGCAACAAAUGCCCUGCUUCCAGGAAAAGCCUCUAAGCAUCAGGUAACAUCAAAUCGUACCCCAAACCGACACAGGUGGUCAGGUAGAGAAUACCAAGGCGCUUGAGAGAACUCGGGUGAAGGAACUAGGCAAAAUGGUGCCGUAACUUCGGGAGAAGGCACGCUGAUACGUAGGUGAAGCGACUUGCUCGUGGAGCUGAAAUCAGUCGAAGAUACCAGCUGGCUGCAACUGUUUAUUAAAAACACAGCACUGUGCAAACACGAAAGUGGACGUAUACGGUGUGACGCCUGCCCGGUGCCGGAAGGUUAAUUGAUGGGGUUAGCGCAAGCGAAGCUCUUGAUCGAAGCCCCGGUAAACGGCGGCCGUAACUAUAACGGUCCUAAGGUAGCGAAAUUCCUUGUCGGGUAAGUUCCGACCUGCACGAAUGGCGUAAUGAUGGCCAGGCUGUCUCCACCCGAGACUCAGUGAAAUUGAACUCGCUGUGAAGAUGCAGUGUACCCGCGGCAAGACGGAAAGACCCCGUGAACCUUUACUAUAGCUUGACACUGAACAUUGAGCCUUGAUGUGUAGGAUAGGUGGGAGGCUUUGAAGUGUGGACGCCAGUCUGCAUGGAGCCGACCUUGAAAUACCACCCUUUAAUGUUUGAUGUUCUAACGUGGACCCGUGAUCCGGGUUGCGGACAGUGUCUGGUGGGUAGUUUGACUGGGGCGGUCUCCUCCUAAAGAGUAACGGAGGAGCACGAAGGUUGGCUAAUCCUGGUCGGACAUCAGGAGGUUAGUGCAAUGGCAUAAGCCAGCUUGACUGCGAGCGUGACGGCGCGAGCAGGUGCGAAAGCAGGUCAUAGUGAUCCGGUGGUUCUGAAUGGAAGGGCCAUCGCUCAACGGAUAAAAGGUACUCCGGGGAUAACAGGCUGAUACCGCCCAAGAGUUCAUAUCGACGGCGGUGUUUGGCACCUCGAUGUCGGCUCAUCACAUCCUGGGGCUGAAGUAGGUCCCAAGGGUAUGGCUGUUCGCCAUUUAAAGUGGUACGCGAGCUGGGUUUAGAACGUCGUGAGACAGUUCGGUCCCUAUCUGCCGUGGGCGCUGGAGAACUGAGGGGGGCUGCUCCUAGUACGAGAGGACCGGAGUGGACGCAUCACUGGUGUUCGGGUUGUCAUGCCAAUGGCACUGCCCGGUAGCUAAAUGCGGAAGAGAUAAGUGCUGAAAGCAUCUAAGCACGAAACUUGCCCCGAGAUGAGUUCUCCCUGACCCUUUAAGGGUCCUGAAGGAACGUUGAAGACGACGACGUUGAUAGGCCGGGUGUGUAAGCGCAGCGAUGCGUUGAGCUAACCGGUACUAAUGAACCGUGAGGCUUAACCUUACAACGCCGAAG
rnacentral:rRNA from 2 species